UACAGAGACCUCAAGCGUUAUCCGGAUUUAUUGGGCGUAAAGAGCGUGUAGGCGGCUUGGUAGGUCCGCUGUGAAAACUCGAGGCUCAACCUCGAGAUGUCGGCGGAAACCACUUGGCUAGAGUCCGGAAGAGGAGAGUGGAAUUCCCGGUGUAGCGGUGAAAUGCGCAGAUAUCGGGAAGAACACCUAUGGCGAAGGCAGCUCUCUGGGACGGUACUGACGCUGAGACGCGAAAGCGUGGGGAGCGAACAGG
rnacentral:rRNA from 1 species